AGCCGCCGCGGUAAUCAGAGGGUGCAAGCGUUAAUCGGAAUUACUGGGCGUAAAGCGCGCGUAGGUGGUUCGUUAAGUCGGAUGUGAAAUCCCCGGGCUCAACCUGGGAACUGCAUUCAAAACUGACGAGCUAGAGUAUGGUAGAGGGUGGUGGAAUUUCCUGUGUAGCGGUGAAAUGCGUAGAUAUAGGAAGGAACGCCAGUGGCGAAGGCGACCACCUGGACUGAUACUGACACUGUGGUGCGAAAGCGUGGGGAGCAAACAGGAUUAGAUACCCUGGUAGUCCACGCCGUAAACGAUGUCAACUAGCCGUUGGGAGCCUUGAGCUCUUAGUGGCGCAGCUAACGCAUUAAGUUGACCGCCUGGGGAGUACGGCCGCAAGGUUAAAACUCAAAUGAAUUGACGGGGGCCCGCACA
rnacentral:rRNA from 1 species